UACGAAGGGGGCUAGCGUUGUUCGGAAUUACUGGGCGUAAAGCGCACGUAGGCGGAUUGUUAAGUCAGAGGUGAAAUCCCGGAGCUCAACUUCGGAACUGCCUUUGAUACUGGCAAUCUAGAGUCCGGAAGAGGUUAGUGGAAUUCCCAGUGUAGAGGUGAAAUUCGUAGAUAUUGGGAAGAACACCAGUGGCGAAGGCGGCUAACUGGUCCGGUACUGACGCUGAGGAGCGAAAGCGUGGGGAGCGAACAGG
rnacentral:rRNA from 1 species